UUAUGACGUACUUGUACUGAUUGAGAUUUUAACACGAAGUGAGUGGCGAACGGGUGAGUAACACGUGGGUAACCUGCCCAGAAGUAGGGGAUAACACCUGGAAACAGAUGCUAAUACCGUAUAACAGAGAAAACCGCAUGGUUUUCUUUUAAAAGAUGGCUCUGCUAUCACUUCUGGAUGGACCCGCGGCGUAUUAGCUAGUUGGUGAGGUAAAGGCUCACCAAGGCAGUGAUACGUAGCCGACCUGAGAGGGUAAUCGGCCACAUUGGGACUGAGACACGGCCCAGACUCCUACGGGAGGCAGCAGUAGGGAAUCUUCCACAAUGGACGCAAGUCUGAUGGAGCAACGCCGCGUGAGUGAAGAAGGGUUUCGGCUCGUAAAGCUCUGUUGUUAAAGAAGAACGUGGGUAAGAGUAACU
rnacentral:rRNA from 1 species